AGAAGAAGAAAAGAUAUUUUUUCUUAGUUAAAUUGUUUAGGAAUAAUAGAGUUAAUAUUCAUUGUUGCCUAUUAUGUGUGUGUGUUACGCUUAAAUAAACUAGCACACUUGCGUGCGUCGUGCGUGACUGAGCCACAACCGACUGACCUGCAGCGACAAAGAUGCGGCACACGAUACGAGCACGGCAGCAAGUAAAACCGGAAGAAACCAGUGGAAGAAUCGAACCGAGAAGGCACCGAUCCGAACGAAAACGAGCACAACCACUUACUAUAUUGCGUUGUGCUGGUAAAAUUCGUCGUCUUCGGAAGGUUGGGAUGGGUGAGGCUGGUGAUUGGGCGAUUAGGGAGGGUAGGGGGUGAAUUGGAAGCGGUUUAACAUGAAACGGAUGGACGAACAAAGGAGGGUAAUGUUGGCUGUGUGUUGUUGCACGUUAGACGAGAAUGUUAGGAAGGGCUGUGCGGAGGGCUGUGUACCACACACACACACACACACACACACUUGGACACAAGCUGACCGUGCAGGUCCGUGACGGGGGUGCGUAUAUUGAGAUUCGUACUACUCUCUGUGUGUGAGGGGCGCUGAGAAGUUGUGCGCCUGUGGCUGUGACCCUAUCUACCCGUGCCACCCACCCAACCCUGUGCCCCUGUGUGGCGAAGAAACCCGCUUACAACAUCAUCACACCCACGAAGCGAAGAAGGGCUUCUCUCUCUCUCUGUAUAGGCUGGCUAGCUGGCUGGACGUACAACUUACCAUCCGUUUUUCCCCCGUGUGUUCGUGUGACAGUAGUCCUGCCCUGUAGCGGUAGCGAAAAAAAGGGCUGUUUUUCGCCUUGGUCUGGCACUGCACGGCACCACAAAUCUUUAUCACCCGCCGACUGGCACCACUAUUUACUCUGUUGCUGGCACUGGCUGCUGCUGCUGCCACCGUUGC